GUUAAAAAGCUCGUAGUUGGAUUUCUGUUGAGGACGGCCGGUCCGCACUAUGUGCGUGUAUCUGGUUCGGCCUUGGCAUCCUCUUGAGGAACGUUCCUGCGCUUGAUUGCGUGGGGCGGUAUUCAAGACUUUUACUUUGAGGAAAUUAGAGUGUUCACGGCAGGCAAGCGCCUUGAAUACAUUAGCAUGGAAUAAUAAUAUUGGAUCUUGGUUCUAUUUGUUGGUUUCUAGGGCUAAGGUAAUGAUUAAUAGGGAUAAUUGGGGGCAUUUGUAUUAACGCGUCAGAGGUGGAAUUCUUGGAUUGCGUUACGACAAACUACUGCGAAAGCAUUUGCCAAGGAUGUUUUCAUUGAUCAAGAACGAAAGUAUGGGGAUCGAAGAUGAUUAGAUACCGUCGUAGUCUAUACCAUAAACUAUGCCGACUAGGGAUUGGAGGUCGUUCUUUUUAUGACUCCUUCAGCACCUUAUGAGAAAUCAAAGUCUUUGGGUUCCGGGGGGAGUAUAGUCGCAAGGCUGAAACUUAAAGGAAUUGACGGAAGGGCACCACCAGGAGUGGAGCCUGCGGCUUAAUUUGACUCAACACGGGGAAACUCACCAGGUCCAGACAUAGUAAGGAUUGACAGAUUGAUAUCUCUUUCUUGAUUCUAUGGGUGGUGGUGCAUGGCCGUUCUUAGUUGGUGGAGUGAUUUGUCUGGUUUAUUUCGAUAACGAACGAGAUCUUAACCUGCUAAAUAGUAACGCGUAUCUCCGGAUAUUCGAUUACUUCUUAGAGGGA
rnacentral:rRNA from 1 species